UACGUAGGAUCCUAGCGUUGUCCGGAUUUACUGGGUGUAAAGGGUGCGCAGGCGGGCUGGUAAGUCAGGGGUGAAAUCUCGGCGCUUAACGCCGAAACUGCCUUUGAUACUAUCAGUCUUGAGUUUGGUAGAGAUCCGUGGAAUUCCGAGUGUAGCAGUGAAAUGUGUAGAUAUUCGGAAGAACACCAGUGGCGAAGGCAGCGGAUUGGGCCAAUACUGACGCUCAGGCACGAAAGCAUGGGGAUCAAACAGG
rnacentral:rRNA from 1 species